rnacentral:rRNA from 1 species
UGGGAAUCUUGCGCAAUGGGCGAAAGCCUGACGCAGCCAUGCCGCGUGAAUGAUGAAGGUCUUAGGAUUGUAAAAUUCUUUCACCGGGGACGAUAAUGACGGUACCCGGAGAAGAAGCCCCGGCUAACUUCGUGCCAGCAGCCGCGGUAAUACGAAGGGGGCUAGCGUUGCUCGGAAUUACUGGGCGUAAAGGGAGCGUAGGCGGACAUUUAAGUCAGGGGUGAAAUCCCGGGGCUCAACCUCGGAAUUGCCUUUGAUACUGGGUGUCUUGAGUGUGAGANAGGUAUGCGGAACUCCGAGUGUAGAGGUGAAAUUCGUAGAUAUUCGGAAGAACACCAGUGGCGAAGGCGACAUACUGGCUCAUUACUGACGCUGAGGCUCGAAAGCGUGGGGAGCAAACAGGAUUAGAUACCCUGGUAGUCCACGCCGUAAACNAUGAUUGCUAGUUGUCGGGAUGCAUGCAUUUCGGUGACGCAGCUAACGCAUUAAGCAAUCCGCCUGGGGAGUACGGUCGCAAGAUUAAAACUUAAAUGAAUUGACGGGGGUCAUAGCUGUUUCCUG